rnacentral:rRNA from 1 species
UGGGGAAUAUUGGACAAUGGGCGAAAGCCUGAUCCAGCAAUGCCGCGUGAGUGAUGAAGGCCUUAGGGUUGUAAAGCUCUUUUACCAGGGAUGAUAAUGACAGUACCUGGAGAAUAAGCUCCGGCUAACUCCGUGCCAGCAGCCGCGGUAAUACGGAGGGAGCUAGCGUUGUUCGGAAUUACUGGGCGUAAAGCGUACGUAGGCGGUUAUUCAAGUCAGAGGUGAAAGCCCGGGGCUCAACCCCGGAACGGCCUUUGAAACUAGAUAGCUAGAAUCUUGGAGAGGUCAGUGGAAUUCCGAGUGUAGAGGUGAAAUUCGUAGAUAUUCGGAAGAACACCAGUGGCGAAGGCGACUGACUGGACAAGUAUUGACGCUGAGGUACGAAAGCGUGGGGAGCAAACAGGAUUAGAUACCCAAGUAGUCCCUGAGCGGGCUGGCAAGGCGCAU